rnacentral:rRNA from 1 species
UGGCUCAGGAACCGACGCUGGCGGCGUGCUUAACACAUGCAAGUCGAACGGGAUCCAUCAAGCUUGCUUGGUGGUGAGAGUGGCGAACGGGUGAGUAAUGCGUGACCGACCUGCCCCAUACACCGGAAUAGCUCCUGGAAACGGGUGGUAAUGCCGGAUGCUCCAGUUGAUCGCAUGGUCUUCUGGGAAAGCUUUCGCGGUAUGGGAUGGGGUCGCGUCCUAUCAGCUUGACGGCGGGGUAACGGCCCACCGUGGCUUCGACGGGUAGCCGGCCUGAGAGGGCGACCGGCCACAUGGACUGAGAUCGCCC